GCCGAGACCAUCCAAGCCAAAUUCUUACCCAGGACAUCCAGCAUCCAAACUCAAUACCCACCUCCUUCCUUCAAUCGAGCAUUAGAGCCUACUCAUUUACUAUUCACUUUACUAGCUUUUUUCUAUUAAUUGAAAAGAAAAAGAAUCAAAUUGUUAUCUUAUCCCUAGAAAUUGUGUAUGCACAUGCAGUUUGUGCUGCAUCAUCAAAGAAUCUUUCAACUAG
rnacentral:misc_RNA from 1 species